CCCAUCCCCGCACUGGACCGGUCGUCCCCGCCCCCUUCCCGGGCCCGUCGUCCCCGCCCCCUUCCCGCCCCGCAGCUGCUGGUGAGGUGGCCGUGGCCGCGGCUCCGGCGGUCCGGCGCCCCCUUGCCGGCCCUCUGCUACUGGAGAAGGGACUAGAGAGCAUUGGCAAGACCCAAAUUUUACUCGUUCUUUCUCUAGGCGGGGAUGAUGGUGGUGGCAGGGAUAAUGGUGGUGGCGGGGGUGAUGGUGGUGGCGGGGAGGGGGUUGGCAACAAGGGAUGGCUGCGUGGUAACGCAAAGGUAUCAAAGCAGAUUUCUGCUACCGAGGAGCAGAAGUGGCUCAUUGAGCCCACGGGGAAAGACUAAGUGCCAGUUUAUAAUAAUUUCAUUCU